rnacentral:rRNA from 1 species
CCCUCGCUGUCUGUUGCCACCACGAGAGGUGGGGACGUCAGGCGGAACUGCCGGUGGACAAACCGGAGGAAGGUGGGGACGACGUCAAGUCAUCAUGGCCCUUAUGUCCUGGGCUACACACGUGCUACAAUGGCCGGUACAGAGCGCAGCGAGGCCGCGAGGCGGAGCGAAUACGCUUAAAGCCGGUCCCAGUACGGAUUGGAGUCUGCAACCCGACUCCAUGAAGUUGGAAUCGCUAGUAAUCGCGCAUCAGCAUGGCGCGGUGAAUACGUUCCCGGGCCUU